GGAUAGCCUUUGCAGUACCCUGCCUGAUGGAGACUGGCAGAGGCGAUACUUAGAGAUCAGGAUAAGCAUGUAGAGAUUUGUGUGGAAUAUUUUCGGACGCGGGUUCGACUCCCGCCGCCUCCACCA
rnacentral:tRNA from 1 species